rnacentral:RNase_P_RNA from 1 species
UGAGCCGGCCGGGCGGCCGCGUACCGGCAUGACCGGUCCGAGGAACGUCCGGACUCCACAGGGCAGGGUGCUGGGCAACUCCCAGUCGGGGCGACCCGAAGGAAAGUGCCACAGAAAACAGACCGCCGAUGGCGGGACGGACUGGUCGACCAGCCCGGUCCGCACAGGCAAGGGUGCAACGGUGCGGUAAGAGCGCACCAGCGCCCGGGGUGACACGGGCGGCUAGGUAAACCCCACCCGGAGCAAGUCCAGACAGGGGGGUGGGUGACCCGCUCGACAAAGACCCCCGGGUAGGCCGCAAGAGCCGUCGGGUAACCGCCGGCCGAGAGGGAUGGCCGCCGGCCGAAGCGCCGCAAGGCGCUCCGGCUACAGAAUCCGGCGUACAGGCCGGCUCACCAC